rnacentral:rRNA from 1 species
CGCUGGCGGCGUGCCUAAUACAUGCAAGUCGAGCGAGCGGAACCAGCAGAAUCACUUCGGUGAGGACGCUGGGAAAGCGAGCGGCGGAUGGGUGAGUAACACGUGGGGAACCUGCCCUUAAGUCUGGGAUACCACUUGGAAACAGGUGCUAAUACCGGAUAAGAAAGCAGUUCGCAUGAACAGCUUUUAAAAGGCGGCGCAAGCUGUCGCUAAAGGAUGGACCCGCGGUGCAUUAGCUAGUUGGUAAGGUAACGGCCUACCAAGGCAGUGAUGCAUAGCCGAGUUGAGAGACUGAUCGGCCACAUUGGGACUGAGACACGGCCCAAACUCCUACGGGAGGCAGCAGUAGGGAAUCUUCCACAAUGGACGCAAGUCUGAUGGAGCAACGCCGCGUGAGUGAAGAAGGUUUUCGGAUCGUAAAGCUCUGUUGUUGGUGAAGAAGGAUAGAGGCAGUAACUGGCCUUUAUUUGACGGUAAUCAACCAGAAAGUCACGGCUAACUACGUGCCAGCAGCCGCGGUAAUACGUAGGUGGCAAGCGUUGUCCGGAUUUAUUGGGCGUAAAGCGAGCGCAGGCGGAAGAAUAAGUCUGAUGUGAAAGCCCUCGGCUUAACCGAGGAAUUGCAUCGGAAACUGUUUUUCUUGAGUGCAGAAGAGGAGAGUAGAACUCCAUGUGUAGCGGUGGAAUGCGUAGAUAUAUGGAAGAAUACCAGUGGCGAAGGCGGCUCUCUGGUCUGCAACUGACGCUGAGGCUCGAAAGCAUGGGUAGCGAACAGGAUUAGAUACCCUGGUAGUCC